rnacentral:rRNA from 1 species
CCUACGGGAGGCAGCAGUAGGGAAUAUUGCUCAAUGGGGGAAACCCUGAAGCAGCAACGCCGCGUGGAGGAUGAAGGUUUUCGGAUUGUAAACCCUCUUUGUUAGAGAAGAUAAUGACGGUAUCUAACGAAUACUCACCGGCUAACUCCGUGCCAGCAGCCGCGGCACUACGGAGGGUGCAAGCGUUACUCGGAAUCACUGGGCGUAAAGGGCGCGUAGGCGGGAUAGCAAGUCAGUUGUGAAAUCCUAUGGCUUAACCAUAGAACUGCAUUUGAAACUGUUAUUCUAGAGUAUGGGAGAGGUAGGUGGAAUUCGUGGUGUAGGGGUAAAAUCCGUAGAGAUCAAGAAGAAUACUCAUUGCGAAGGCGGCCUGCUAGAACGUAACUGACGCUGAUGCGCGAAAGCGUGGGGAGCGAACAGGAUUAGAUACCCGAGUAGUC